rnacentral:rRNA from 1 species
UACGUAGGUGGCAAGCGUUGUCCGGAAUUACUGGGCGUAAAGGGCGCGUAGGCGGCCUUCUAAGUCGAACGUGAAAUCCCCGGGCUCAACCCGGGAACUGCGUCCGAUACUGGAAGGCUUGAAUCCGGGAGAGGGAUGCGGAAUUCCAGGUGUAGCGGUGAAAUGCGUAGAUAUCUGGAGGAACACCGGUGGCGAAGGCGGCGUUCUGGACUGCAUCUGACACUGAGAGACGAAAGCCAGGGGAGCAAACGGG